CGCGCAGGCGGUUGUUUAAGUCGGAUGUGAAAGCCCCGGGCUUAACCUGGGAACUGCAUUCGAUACUGGGCAGCUAGAGUACGAGAGAGGGAGGUAGAAUUCCACGUGUAGCGGUGAAAUGCGUAGAUAUGUGGAGGAAUACCGGUGGCGAAGGCGGCCUCCUGGUUCGAUACUGACGCUGAGGUGCGAAAGCGUGGGGAGCAAACA
rnacentral:rRNA from 1 species